ACUAAGAAUUCCACAAUAGUUCCACUGCCACCCCUGCCAAAUUUAUUGACCAGUUCUUAGGUUCUAUUCUUGCCUCUCUAGGGUUGGUGAGGUGGGGAUUGAGGCAGUGGGGAGGAAACUCAAUUCUGUUUUCAUGGACUGGAAGGGAGAAUCAGACGUGAUCACAGUAGCUAUGCCAAGCACAGAAUGCUAACUAGUCAAGGUCACCAAAAUGACAUUUACAGAGAUGGCUACAACAUCUGGUGGCCAGAACAGAGGGUCCUCACUGUUUUGGUCUAAAUUACUCAUAGGAUUUUACUGCAAAUAUCUGUUAAUGUUGGCUCCUUCCAGCCUGGGUGGAAAUGACCUUGAUAUAUAGCAGAAAGAUAGAGGGAAAUGUUACCUCUUCGAUAAUGGAAGAUUAUAUAGUCCCUCAAUUCAUCCCCUUGGGCAAAAAGAGUCUGAAGAAGGCAAGACUAGAAAAGUCAAGAGGAGGAAGAAGAAGGUUGCUUCUGGAUGAGUCCUCCAAACUGAAUUUUGUUCAGUGAAUGGACAAAAGAGGGAUCAGUCAAAUUUUGAUUCCAUGCCCAGUGUGGAGCCCAAUGCAGAGCUUA